GACGAACGCUGGCGGCGUGCUUAACACAUGCAAGUCGAACGAAGAGCGAUGGAAGCUUGCUUCUAUCAAUCUUAGUGGCGAACGGGUGAGUAACGCGUAAUCAACCUGCCCUUCAGAGGGGGACAACAGUUGGAAACGACUGCUAAUACCGCAUACGAUCUAAUCUCGGCAUCGAGGAAAGAUGAAAGGUGGCCUCUAUUUAUAAGCUAUCACUGAAGGAGGGGAUUGCGUCUGAUUAGCUAGUUGGAGGGGUAACGGCCCACCAAGGCGAUGAUCAGUAGCCGGUCUGAGAGGAUGAACGGCCACAUUGGGACUGAGACACGGCCCAGACUCCUACGGGAGGCAGCAGUGGGGAAUCUUCCGCAAUGGACGAAAGUCUGACGGAGCAACGCCGCGGGAGUGAUGACGGCCUUCGGGUUGUAAAGCUCUGUUAAUCGGGACGAAAGGCCUUCUUGCGAACAGUUAGAAGGAUUGACGGUACCGGAAUAGAAAGCCACGGCUAACUACGUG
rnacentral:rRNA from 1 species